UACGUAGGGGGCAAGCGUUGUCCGGAUUUAUUGGGCGUAAAGAGCGUGUAGGCGGCCAUGUAGGUCCGUUGUGAAAACUCGAGGCUCAACCUCGAGACGCCGAUGGAAACCAUGUGGCUCGAGUCCGGAAGAGGAGAGUGGAAUUCCCGGUGUAGCGGUGAAAUGCGUAGAGACCCGGAGGAACACCAGUGGCGAAGGCGGCGUGCUGGCCUGCGACUAACGCUGUGGCGCGAAAGCUAGGGGAGCGAACGGG
rnacentral:rRNA from 1 species